GGCGUGAACCACCUCGGCCACUUCCUGCUCGCCCGCCUCCUCAUGGAGGACCUCCAGAAGUCCGACUACCCGUCCCGCCGCAUGGUCAUCGUCGGCUCCAUCACCGGCAACAGCAACACGCUGGCCGGCAACGUGCCGCCCAAGGCCAGCCUCGGCGACCUCCGGGGGCUCGCCGGCGGGCUCAGCGGCGCGUCCGGCUCCGCCAUGAUCGACGGCGACGAGAGCUUCGACGGCGCCAAGGCGUACAAGGACAGCAAGGUGUGCAACAUGCUGACCAUGCAGGAGUUCCACCGGCGGUACCACGAGGAGACCGGCAUCACCUUCUCCUCGCUUUACCCGGGCUGCAUCGCCACAACGGGGUUGUUCCGCGAGCACAUCCCGCUGUUCCGCACCCUCUUCCCGCCGUUCCAGAAGUUCGUCACCAAGGGGUUCGUGUCCGAGGCCGAGUCCGGCAAGAGGCUGGCGCAGGUGGUGGCGGAACCCAGCCUGACCAAGUCCGGCGUGUACUGGAGCUGGAACAAGGACUCGGCGUCGUUCGAGAACCAGCUCUCGCAGGAGGCCAGCGACCCCGAGAAGGCCCGCAAGGUCUGGGAGCUCAGCGAGAAGCUCGUCGGACUCGCCUGAUCUCCGGCCAGGUCCGGGCAAUGCAUGCAUCUAGGACUCCGAUGCCGAACUUGUCGCAUUAUUUAACGUUGGUAAUUAUCACUUUUACUCCUUUUUAGAAACUCAAUUACGCGGGAAAGGCCUUGCAGUGUCGGCGAGAGUGCAUAGAUCUCGUGUGGAAGAUGUACAAUUUUCGGCCAACCAUGAAUAAUAAAACCGCAGGCCUAAUUGAGGAUGACAUAUAUUGUGAUC
rnacentral:lncRNA from 1 species